UACGUAGGGGGCGAGCGUUGUCCGGAAUCAUUGGGCGUAAAGCGCGUGUAGGCGGCUCGAUAAGUCCGGUGUGAAACCUUGGGGCUCAACCCCAAGCCUGCACUGGAUACUGCCGAGCUAGAGUCCGGGAGGGGAGAGCGGAAUUCCUAGUGUAGCGGUGAAAUGCGUAGAGAUCGGGAGGAAGGCCGGUGGCGAAGGCGGCGCUCUGGAACAUUUCUGACGCUGAGGCUCGAAAGCGUGGGGAGCAAACAGG
rnacentral:rRNA from 1 species